rnacentral:miRNA from 1 species
UUUUGUUAACAGUGCAGAUUCUCACUCUGGGGUCUGGGAUAGAGCUAGGAUUCUGCAUUUUUAACAAGCUC